ACUCCUGCGGGAGGCAGCAGUGGGGAAUUUUGGACAAUGGGCGAAAGCCUGAUCCAGCAAUGCCGCGUGAGUGAAGAAGGCCUUCGGGUUGUAAAGCUCUUUUGUCAGGGAAGAAACGGUGAGAGCUAAUAUCUCUUGCUAAUGACGGUACCUGAAGAAUAAGCACCGGCUAACUACGUGCCAGCAGCCGCGGUAAUACGUAGGGUGCAAGCGUUAAUCGGAAUUACUGGGCGUAAAGCGUGCGCAGGCGGUUUUGUAAGUCUGAUGUGAAAUCCCCGGGCUCAACCUGGGAAUUGCAUUGGAGACUGCAAGGCUAGAAUCUGGCAGAGGGGGGUAGAAUUCCACGUGUAGCAGUGAAAUGCGUAGAUAUGUGGAGGAACACCGAUGGCGAAGGCAGCCCCCUGGGUCAAGAUUGACGCUCAUGCACGAAAGCGUGGGGAGCAAACAGGAUUAGAUACCCGGGUAGUCCC
rnacentral:rRNA from 1 species